AGGAAUCUGCCUAUUAGUGGGGGACAACAUCUCGAAAGGGAUGCUAAUACCGCAUACGUCCUACGGGAGAAAGCAGGGGAUCACUUGUGACCUUGCGCUAAUAGAUGAGCCUAAGUCGGAUUAGCUAGUUGGUGGGGUAAAGGCCUACCAAGGCGACGAUCUGUAGCGGGUCUGAGAGGAUGAUCCGCCACACUGGGACUGAGACACGGCCCAGACUCCUACGGGAGGCAGCAGUGGGGAAUAUUGGACAAUGGGGGGAACCCUGAUCCAGCCAUGCCGCGUGUGUGAAGAAGGCCUUAUGGUUGUAAAGCACUUUAAGCGAGGAGGAGGCUCUUUUGGUUAAUACCCAGAAUGAGUGGACGUUACUCGCAGAAUAAGCACCGGCUAACUCUGUGCCAGCAGCCGCGGUAAUACAGAGGGUGCAAGCGUUAAUCGGAUUUACUGGGCGUAAAGCGCGCGUAGGCGGCCAAUUAAGUCAAAUGUGAAAUCCCCGAGCUUAACUUGGGAAUUGCAUUCGAUACUGGUUGGCUAGAGUGUGGGAGAGGAUGGUAGAAUUCCAGGU
rnacentral:rRNA from 1 species